AACUUGUAGCCCGCCGGCAGGAGCGAGCCGUUCGCCUCCAGGCUCCGCACCGCGUACUCGAUGGCCGGCCUGACCCGCGCCAGCGAGAACAGCGGUAGAGAACCCGAGGCGCACCAAGGUGGCGGAAAGGAGCGAGCGAGGGCGCACUGAGGAAAAGUUUCGAGGGCUCCGCUCGGAAGGGGCGCCGUCUGCUCCCUCUCGCCUCUGGAUUCUAGUCAGAAAUAGAGGGUGAAUUUGCUUCGCGCUUUUGGGAAGGGACGGUCUGCCGCCCCGCUACAACUUUCCCGCGCCCCGUCCUCCAUGUAACCGUAAGAAUAAGAGAGCCAACUGAGGCGCCAGCAUCCUCAUCAUCGCCCACUACUACUUUUUCUUCCUCCUCCUCCUCCCCUCCGCCCGCCUCCCCAAUCUCUCUGCCUCCCGAGUGAGCUGGGUCGACGGCCGUCCUUGCCGCUCCCGGCCUCAUAGCCUCUGUUUAAAUACUGCGGCUGCAGCCCCGCGCGCCCGGUCGCCAGACACGCGGCGCGGCGAGGCCGGGUUUGCGCUUCGGGGGGGUGAGGGCGGGCUAGGGAGGAGCCAUUGCCAAACGUCCCCUUGGCUUGGCUGGCCACGCCCACCUCUCUCUCUCUCUCUCUUCCUUGGCUCCUCCCCGCCCCGCGUUCACACGCUGCCUCUUCGCCCUCGGGUUUCUCCGCCGCUUUUGUUCUGGGAGGCUGAAGCGGAGGCGGAGAAGGGGAGACGAGGAAUCUAGACGCCGACCACCGAGGGCCAGGAAUCGUGCGCCCCUGCUUGGGGGAUGGUGGCGCCCUUCAUCCUCCCUUGGGAUGGGGUAGUCCAAAUCCAGGCUGCGAUCCUGCUUGAGCAGGGGGGCUGGACUAGAAGACCUCCGAGCAUCAUGCCUGGGAAACAUCAUGCCUUGAGCCCAACGUGGAGUUGGAUCCCUGCAGAGAUGAGGAAUCUCUUCUUCGCAGAGAAUCUGCUUUGCAUCCUGGAGAAUCAAAGCUCUCUGAGUGGAUUAAAG